UAGGGAAUAUUGGACAAUGGGCGAAAGCCUGAUCCAGCCAUGCCGCGUGUGUGAAGAAGGUCUUCAGAUUGUAAAGCACUUUAAGUUGGGAGGAAGGGCAGUUACCUAAUACGUAUCUGUUUUGACGUUACCGACAGAAUAAGCACCGGCUAACUCUGUGCCAGCAGCCGCGGUAAUACAGAGGGUGCAAGCGUUAAUCGGAAUUACUGGGCGUAAAGCGCGCGUAGGUGGUUUGUUAAGUUGGAUGUGAAAUCCCCGGGCUCAACCUGGGAACUGCAUUCAAAACUGACAAGCUAGAGUAUGGUAGAGGGUGGUGGAAUUUCCUGUGUAGCGGUGAAAUGCGUAGAUAUAGGAAGGAACACCAGUGGCGAAGGCGACCACCUGGACUGAUACUGACACUGAGGUGCGAAAGCGUGGGGAGCAAACAGGAUUAGAUACCCGAGUAGUCCCUGAGCGGGCUGGCAAGGCGCAU
rnacentral:rRNA from 1 species